rnacentral:rRNA from 1 species
CGUAGGGGGCUAGCGUUGUCCGGAUUUAUUGGGCGUAAAGAGCGUGUAGGCGGCCAGGUAGGUCCGGUGUGAAAACUCGAGGCUUAACCUCGAGAUGUCAUCGGAAACCAUCUGGCUAGAGUCCGGAAGAGGAGAGUGGAAUUCCUGGUGUAGCGGUGAAAUGCGCAGAUAUCAGGAAGAACACCAAUGGCGAAAGCAGCUCUCUGGGACGGUACUGACGCUGAGACGCGAAAGCGUGGGGAGCGAACAGGAUUAGAUACCCUGGCAGUCCACGCCGUAAACGAUGGGCGCUAGGUGUGGGCGGUGUCGACUCCGUCCGUGCCGAAGCUAACGCAUUAAGCGCCCCGCCUGGGGAGUACGGCCGCAAGGCUA